rnacentral:rRNA from 1 species
AGCAGCAGCCGCGGUAAAACAGAGGGUGCGAGCGUUAAUCGGAUUUACUGGGCGUAAAGCGUGCGUAGGCGGCUUUUUAAGUCGGAUGUGAAAUCCCUGAGCUUAACUUAGGAAUUGCAUUCGAUACUGGGAAGCUAGAGUAUGGGAGAGGAUGGUAGAAUUCCAGGUGUAGCGGUGAAAUGCGUAGAGAUCUGGAGGAAUACCGAUGGCGAAGGCAGCCAUCUGGCCUAAUACUGACGCUGAGGUACGAAAGCAUGGGGAGCAAACAGGAUUAGAUACCCCGGUAGUCCCUGUCUCUUAUAC